AAGACUAUACUUUCAGGGAUCAUUUCUAUAGUAUGUUACUAGAGAAGUUUCUCUGAACGUGUAGAGCACCGGAAACCACGAGGAGGAGGUACAGUGUCCUCUCCUGAGCGUGAGGUUGGCUUUUGAUGUUGCGGUUUUGCAACUGUCAUCUGCCGUUGAUGAUCGUUCUUCUCUUCCUUUGGGAGAGUUAGAGGGAGAGGACACAGUCUGAGUGGUU
ensembl:snoRNA